GAUGAAGAACGUAGCGAAAUGCGAUACUUGGUGUGAAUUGCAGAAUCCCGUGAACCAUCGAGUCUUUGAACGCAAGUUGCGCCCGAAGCCAUUAGGCCGAGGGCACGCCUGCCUGGGCGUCACACGUCGUUGCCCCCCCAUCUACUCCUUCGGGAUUGCGGGGGGCGGAUGAUGGCCUCCCGUGCGCCUCGUCGCGCGGUUGGCAUAAAUGCCAAGUCCUCGGCGACGCACGCCACGACAAUCGGUGGUUGCGAAUCCUCGGUUGCCCGUCGUGUGCGGUCGUCGCGCAUCGAGGGCUCGAAAAAAUUGCCGGGCUCCGGCUCGGCUUUCAACGCGACCCCAGGUCAGGCGGGGUUACCCGCUGAAUUUAAGCAUAUCAAUAAGCGGAGGA
rnacentral:misc_RNA from 1 species